UGGGGAAUCUUGCACAAUGGGCGGAAGCCUGAUGCAGCGACGCCGCGUGGGGGAUGACGGCCUUCGGGUUGUAAACUCCUUUCGCCAGGGACGAAGCCGUGAGGUGACGGUACCUGGAUAAGAAGCACCGGCUAACUACGUGCCAGCAGCCGCGGUAAUACGUAGGGUGCGAGCGUUGUCCGGAAUUACUGGGCGUAAAGAGCUCGUAGGUGGUUUGUCGCGUCGUCUGUGAAAUUCCGGGGCUUAACUCCGGGCGUGCAGGCGAUACGAGCAUAACUUGAGUGCUGUAGGGGAGACUGGAAUUCCUGGUGUAGCGGUGAAAUGCGCAGAUAUCAGGAGGAACACCGAUGGCGAAGGCAGGUCUCUGGGCAGUAACUGACGCUGAGGAGCGAAAGCAUGGGUAGCGAACAGG
rnacentral:rRNA from 1 species